rnacentral:rRNA from 1 species
AGUGAACGCUGGCGGCGUGCCUAAUACAUGCAAGUCGAACGGAGUGGCGCACGGGUGAGUAAUGUAUAGCUAAUCUGCCCUACACUAGAGGACAACAGUUGGAAACGACUGCUAAUACUCUAUAGUGUAGGUUGAGGCUAUAUUGUAUCAGCUAGUUGGUGAGGUAAUGGCUCACCAAGGCUAUGACGCAUAACUGGUCUGCGAGGAUGAUCAGUCACACUGGAACUGAGACACGGUCCGGACUCCUCCGGCAAGGAGCACUAGCGAAUAUUACUCAAUGGGCGAAUCUCGGGAGCGGCAUCGCCGCGUGGAGGAUGACACUUUUCGGAGCGUAAACUCCUUUUGUUAGCGAAGCGGUACCUAACGAAUAAGCACCGGCUAACUCCGUGCCAGCCGCCGCGGUAAUUC